rnacentral:lncRNA from 1 species
AGACACUCAAAUAACCGCUGGAUAAUAAACGUGCCAUGCGACACCCGGCUCGUUAGCCACCUCUAUUUUCUCUUUUGUGAGUCCUUUUCUUGAGUUUUCAAGAAUUAAUGUGUCUAAGACACUCAAAUAACCACUGGAAGCAUGCUUUUAGCCAGAGAUUAGUAGCUCAACUGAAAACCUUGUUCAUCUACCAAAUUCGAAACAACAAUUCUCAGAGUCCAUUUCAGUUCCUCGCAAAUGCUUUAAAGAAAUUUGUUGCUGCUCAUAAGAAAAUGAAUUAGUUGAAGAGCUCCAGUUAUUAGGACUGUCGUUAGCGAUUACGGUGACGACUCAGAAACUCUCCAUCUGCAAUGGAGCCGCGUACCAGGUAACUCUAACUUUCUUCUUAAAUGUAUAUUUUUUCUCCCCUGGUGAUGACAUUGGCUAUAACUGAAGAUGGAUUUUGUGAAAUGUUGGUAAUGGUUUAUGACGACGAUGGUUUGUUAAGGUACUUAAUUUGUUUAAAAUUUUCAUAAAUUUGAACUAAUGCAUAGUGCAGAUUGUGGGACAGCAGCUUUAUAUAUAUUUCAAUCAAGGAAGACUUAAUUAUGAGGCUAUAGAUGAAGUAAUAAUAUGGAUCUGGCAUGCCUCUGGUGGAAGAUGAAGAGUUGGAUUCCUGCAGUUUUGUUUGGGGCUAUUUGUCUAAUUUUUGGGAGGUUUUGCUGAAGUAAUUGUGUGGGUUUGCUUGUAGGGUGCAUUUCAUGUUUUGUUUUAACACUGAAUUGUAUUUCAUUAAAAUAUUAUUUUUUAUGUAAAUUCGUAUUGAAAAAGUGGUUAUAUAAUGAAAGGAG